rnacentral:tRNA from 1 species
GGCGUGGUAGUCCAACUGGCUGGGCACUCGGUUGCAACCCGAGAUCGAUGCAGGUUCGAGUCCUGUCCACGCCU